rnacentral:lncRNA from 1 species
ACGGCACAUCAACUCAAAUAUCAUAUUCAAUACCAACACAAUUCAUACUCAUACUCAAUGACAACACAAACACACAACACACGUAUAAUACUGGAAUACAUCCAUUCAUAUUAUACGCCAUACAUAAUUUAUGCAAUGAGACUCCAUGUAUGCGGUACCGACUAUUCGUGAACAUAUAGUUCAACUUCACCGACCAAUCCAGGUACGGCUACCAAGCUCACUAGUCCCACUCAUUUGAGACCUAGUGACUCACAUCACUAAUUCCUCACUAUGGGAAUUAGCUACCACCCCAAGGGCCAUGCUAUGCACGCUAAAUCACCUAGCAUGCAACAUCAACAACAUUC